AUUGAACGCUGGCGGCAGGCCUAACACAUGCAAGUCGAACGAGUGGCGGACGGGUGAGUAAUGUCUGGGAAACUGCAUGAUGGAGAGGGAUAACUACUGGAAACGGUAGCUAAUACCGCAUACCAUCGGAUGUGCCCAGAUGGGAUUAGCUAGUAGGUGGGGUAACGGCGCACCUAGGCGACGAUCCCUAGCUGGUCUGAGAGGAUGACCAGUCACACUGGAAUUGGGACACGUUCCAUACUCCUACGGGAGGCAGCAGUGGUGAAUAUUGCACAAUGAGUGCAAGCCUGAUGCAGCCAUGCCGCGUGUAUGAAGAAGGCCUUCGGGUUGUAAAGUACUUUCAGCGGGGAGGCGUUACCCGCAGAAGAAGCACCGGCUAACUCCGUGCCAGCAGCCGCGGUAAUAC
rnacentral:rRNA from 1 species